CACACAUUGAUUGAAAAUUUUUACAAUUUUUCAAUAAUUCCAACAAAUACUUGAUGAUCCACAGACAAAAGUAGAUUACAUGUGCCAUCCCAUAUAAGAAAUAUACGCAUCAAGCUAACAAUGGAAGAUGCACAUAUUUUCUUACUAGCUAUAAAUUGCUUUACAUGCAAUAUAAUUUCUUGUAAAGCAUUGUUGGAGAUAUUUGUUUUUGUCUUUUUGGGUUUUGGGAUUUUCCUGAAAUGGGACAUAUAUAUAGCUCGUAAAAAUCCCUUGAAAGCCACAAAAAUCAGUAAUGAUUAUUCCAUAUGCUGGACAUACCCACUUCAGAUAGGUAGCUCUCUGAACUUCCUUCUCCUAAGCUAGGAGAUCCAUGAAUGUAAGGAUUGCUUUCCAUCUUGUUAAGUUGAUUCAAAACAGCUUUAACAACCGUUUUAUCACAAGAGUAAGUGUCUAAAUCAGAGCAAGCACUCAUAGGUAUUUGUCCAAAUGGAGCUGUGCUUUUUGUGGGCAUUAUGUUUGAUUCCAUUUGGGUGAUGUGUGGGAAAAUUAGGUUGGUUUGACUUUGAGAGAAAAUGGAGAAGCAGGGCACUUGCUCAUACUCGUCUAGGUUGGGUUGAGUUUGGUCAAAAGUGAUGUAA
rnacentral:misc_RNA from 1 species